UACGUAGGGCGCAAGCGUUUGUUCGGAAUUACUGGGCGUAAAGCGCACGUAGGCGGAUAUUUAAGUCAGGGGUGAAAUCCCAGAGCUCAACUCUGGAACUGCCUUUGAUACUGGGUAUCUCGAGUAUGGAAGAGGUGAGUGGAAUUCCGAGUGUAGAGGUGAAAUUCGUAGAUAUUCGGAGGAACACCAGUGGCGAAGGCGGCUCACUGGUCCAUUACUGACGCUGAGGUGCGAAAGCGUGGGGAGCAAACAGG
rnacentral:rRNA from 1 species